UACGUAGGGGGCAAGCGUUGUCCGGAAUCAUUGGGCGUAAAGAGCGUGUAGGCGGCUCGGUAAGUCCGCUGUAAAAGUCCAGGGCUCGACCCUGGAAAGCCGGUGGAAACUGUCGAGCUAGAGUCCGGAAGAGGCGAGUGGAAUUCCUGGUGUAGCGGUGAAAUGCGCAGAUAUCAGGAGGAACACCAAUGGCGAAGGCAGCUCGCUGGGACGGUACUGACGCUGAGACGCGAAAGCGUGGGGAGCAAACAGG
rnacentral:rRNA from 1 species